rnacentral:rRNA from 1 species
CCUACGGGAGGCAGCAGUGAGGAAUAUUGGUCAAUGGACGAGAGUCUGAACCAGCCAAGUAGCGUGAAGGAUGACUGCCCUAUGGGUUGUAAACUUCUUUUAUAUGGGAAUAAAAUGUUCCACGUGUGGGAUUUUGUAUGUACCAUAUGAAUAAGGAUCGGCUAACUCCGUGCCAGCAGCCGCGGUAAUACGGAGGAUCCGAGCGUUAUCCGGAUUUAUUGGGUUUAAAGGGAGCGUAGGUGGAUUGUUAAGUCAGUUGUGAAAGUUUGCGGCUCAACCGUAUAAUUGCAGUUGAAACUGGCAGUCUUGAGUACAGUAGAGGUGGGCGGAAUUCGUGGUGUAGCGGUGAAAUGCUUAGAUAUCACGAAGAACUCCGAUUGCGAAGGCAGUUCACUGGACUGCAACUGACACUGAGGCUCGAAAGUGUGGGUAUCAAACAGGAUUAGAUACCCCAGUAGUC